GGAAAGCCCGCCUCUGGGAAGGAAGUGAAAUUUGGGCAAGAGAUGACUCUUAAAUGCUCAAGAGAUACGAGGUACUGAAAACCCUUGGAAGAUAGGCGUUCCAAUUUUGGGAAAUCUGAAAUUCCAAUGCUGGUCAGUGUGGUGGGCAAUAUCACUCCCUUCUCUACCUCAGGAAAAGACACAGCAUCUGAGCAUCCAUGAAUGCUGAGUUCCCUAAGAGAUGUCAACUUGUGAAAGCCCCACUUGACGAGUGGCUUAUACAUAUUAUCACCCGAAAUUCCAACGGACGUUAGGUUGGUGGAUAAACCCUCUUCCGGAAAGAAUACAAUGCCUGGGCAUUUCUUUAGGAAUAAUCGUUGAAGAGAGCUGAGUUUGCCGGUUGGUAGUGGGGCUUUAAGUUUAUCACAGUCUUCGAUUGAAACGCCUACGAGAUUGCUGGGAAGCGCAUCUUCUGGGAGAGAAGCUAGAUUAUGACAACGUACGAUACGUAUCUCAUGAAGAUGGCUAAGAUUGCUCAACCCUUUUGGUAACGAUUUAAGACUAUCACAACCCAAUAUCAGAAUAGAUCUAAGACAUGCAUCAUCAUGGAAUCUCUCGGCUAGAUACUCUAUAUUUGAACAACUAAAAAUUGUCAGCUCUUCGACCGCCACAGGUAAUUGGCAUUCUGAUGUCAGCACCUUGAAAUUGUCACAAUUCUUAAUAUCAAAGCGUUUGAGUGUGACGGGUAACCGGCCUCCGCAUAAGCAAGUGAGCGAUGGGCAGUUGAAGACGGAUAAGCUCUCAAGGUCAAGAUACGUGCCGCUGCUGCUCUUGAUGUUUUUCUCCAGCACCGAAGAAGAAGUACAGCUAUUUUCUCUAUCAUCCAACACACUCUGCAGUGUCUUACAAUCUUCUACUUCAAUUGCUUUCAGAGAUGAAGGUAGAUGCUCUCUUGCAAUGGAUGUUAAAGAAUGACAUCCUUUGAUUCGCAAGACUUUAAGUUGUGCAUUGUUGUGUAUCACUCCAUCAGAUAAGGAUGUUAGAGCAUUGCAAUGUUCGAUGGUAAUUUCACUCAAACUAGAAAGAAAGCAGAUGUUCCGAAGCGAAACAAGAGUUGGACAAUUCCCGAUAAGCAGGUCUUUUAGGCAGGUGAAGCUGUGCAGCCCUUGUAGUGGCUUCCCCAGACGAAUCUCAUUUGCAAACCCUUCACAACCAACAAUCUUCAGUUGUUCUACUUUCUGAAACUUUUGACUCGACCAAUUUUCGAACACUGAAAUAUUGCAAAGAGUCAUUUUGUUCGGUGACUUGGACUCAGAUGGACCAUCGCACACCAACCUUUUGCAUCCAUCAAUUUCCAUUGUGCAGAGAGCUGGAAGGCUUGGUAAUGAUACCGCCAACUGCAUGCAUCCAGCAAUCACAAUUUCCUCCAAAGAAGGAAGAUGGUUAGGUAAUCGUCCAGAGAGCUUGGGGCAUUUUUUAAUGGAAAGCUUUCGGAGACGAGGGAAUGCCUGAACAUGCUCAUCAUUGUCUCUGUUAGGUUCCCAGUGCUCCCAUUCCUGCAAAUCCUCAAAAUAUAAAGUCUGCAAUGAUUGAAAAGGUUUUGAGCAACCUUCCCCAUAAAUCUCCGAACCUAUGCUUUUUAAUGCCGACAUGUCUCGGAUGGUGAGAUCUUUUAGUGAGCUCAAUUGUCCCAGCGGGGGCAAGGAUGUGAUGCUUAUGCAACUUUCCAAUAUUAGAACCGCAACAUCGGAAAAUGAUGGAUCCCCUACCCAAGAUGGGAACCUUGUACCACCGUAAGAAUCGAUUGCAAGCUUUUUAAUUUUACUGUGAGGCUUCAGCAUGUCGAGAAUAUUCUUUUCUCUGACCUCAUCUACUGAGUCGCCAUCCCGCCGUGCCGCCCAUUUUAACUUCAAGUCUUCUAGGUCUUCCUUCACUCUUAACAUAGCCUCAUUUGCUUCUUGUGAAUCGAUGACAUUCUCUAGUCCAGAAAUGGAGAGUUUUCCUCGAAGAAACUUCCAAUUCUUCAAAUCUCUCAAAGCACAGCCGCUAUCCUUGCCAACAAUGAAAUUAGUCAAAGUCCGAAGGCGUUUUAACUCCUUCAUUCCUAAUGGUAACUCACGUAACCGAUAUGCACUUUCAAUAUCAAGAUGAUGUAAAUUAACCAAAUUUCCGAUACUUGAUGGCAACUUCAAGAGAAACCAGCAAUUACUCAAGAUCAAAAUUUCUAAAUUGAAAAGUGAGGUGAUUGCCUCAGGUAAACAUUGGAUCCAACUGUUAGAGAAGUUGAGAUACCGUAGAUGUUUUAAACAUCCAAUUGAUACGGGAACCUCAGUUAUAAGGUAUCUUCCCAAAGAUAACACCCUCAACUUUUUACACUUCGGUAGCAAAUCAGAUAAAACCAUGGGACUUAUGUGGCGAAAAUAAAAUGAACCUUCUUCCACGGAUAUUGGCAAGAAUGUCCUCAAAUUCUCAACUUUGUCGAGAACUUUAAAUUUAUCCAUCCCAUGAAAAGGACCAUUGCUGAUGUACGAAGAAUGACGAACCUUUUCAAAUGCUUUUGACUGUCUAUCCACCGAAAAUUGAUCGUCCAAUCUAAACCAUGUCUCACCAGAAGCCCAUUGAGCCAAAUCAUGUACAAGGUCAUGCAUCACAUAUUUAGAUUCGCUGUUACUUGAUUUUUGGAACAUGGAUCUUGACAAGAGAUCAUGAAAAUACUUACUGCCCAAAUCUUCUAGUUCUUUACUGUCUUCAGAUUGUUGAAUUAGACCUUCUGCUAUCCAUAAAAGAACUAGUUCCUCCUCUUUGAAUUCAUAAUCCUUCGGCAAAAUUGCACAAUAGGCAAAACAUCUUUUUAAAUGCGAAGGCAGAUGGUGAUAGCUUAACUUCAAAACAGAAGGAAUCUCAGUUUUAUCCUGUAAGUUCCAAAUUUUACUGUCCAAUAUAGCUCUCCACUCAUCAACUCUCUCCUUAGAUCGAAGAAGACCACCAAGAGCCCUAGCUGCCAGAGGUAGACCUUUGCAUUUCUCAACAACCCUUUGACGAGCUGACUCGAAGUUUCCAUGCGUGCCAGCAUCUCUACCCUCAAAUGCAUGAUUUACGAACACCGACCAGCAGUCAUCAUCAGACAGAAGCUUCAGCUCCAGCUCAUAAUUUUUACCAGAUCCCAUUCUUGAGGCGACAUCCAUGCUGCGAGUGGUCACAAUUAUCCUGCUGCCGGGUGCUCCAGCCAUGAAGGGAGACUUUAGAGCUUGCCACAAGUCAUAUCUCUCGCUCCAAACAUCAUCCAAGACAAUCAAAAACUUCUUCUUAAACACAGCUUCCUUCAGCUUAAGCUGCACCGAAUUCAAAUCCUUCAGAUCACAAGGGGAGAGUGUGAUCGACUCCAGAAUAGCCUUGGAGAUCCUGAGAACAUCAAAGUCAUGAGAAACACAAACCCAAGCUUUGGGUUCGAAAGCUUCCGUUAACUUGUCGUUGUACACCUCCUGAGCAAGUGUUGUUUUCCCGAUACCUCCCAUACCCACAAGGGGUAUUACUCGAAAGUUGGCAGCAUCACUCGGAUCAUUCUCUAACACCAUAUCAAGUAUCCUCGCCUUGUCUUCAUCUCUCCCAUAAACAGCAGGUUCGCUUGUUAAGCAAGUGGUGGGCGGUCUUUGCCUUACUGCAGCAGCAUGCGGUGACCCUCCAGCAAUCUUUUCCAAUUGAAGAACAUCUGUCCUUUUACGGAGUUCUUCAAGCCGGCUACUGAUUUCUUUAAUCUUAGGCCUCAUGCUAAUACCGGACAUAACACUACUUGCACCAGAGGAAACACCUUGGAUGAGGCUGCGAACCCUGCUAGAGCUGGCUUCACGUUUCUUCAACAAUCUCAGCCCGGCUUCAGUAGCAAACUCAUCGAGUACGUCCUCUGCAUCGUAAGCCAAGUCUCGGAGAUCAUCCAGCCACAGCUUCACAGCCCUGUCAGUGAGCUGCUUCUCCUCUGCAUCGAUCAGCACUGCCUCAAUUGUUUUUAGCGUUUUCUGCCACUUUUUCAGCUUUGAACGGACACCCUCUUGGCCGGCUAACUUCAGCAACUCAGGGGACAUUAAUCUUUCGAACAGCACCUGAAGAAAGGCAGAAAGAAAGAGCUCCGCCACAGGCAUGGCUUCUUUUUUUUGGUUUGGGCUUUUGUAAGUCAAAAAAGAGAUAGAAAAUCAGAAGAAUUCAGACGGGUUAUCACACAAAAGAGAAUAAUGAAAGCAAUGAGCAAGGGAGACUGAGACUUCAAUAUUUGCAAAAGAAAGGUUAUCAGAAUCCAGAAACAGUAAAAUGGUUUUGAACUGUAUUUUUUACGAAUAAUGAGGUUUGUACAUCGUUAGUACAAUUUUUAUGAUAGACCAAAAAAAAAAAAAUUAUCUCGCCGAAAUUUUCUUUUAUCUUAUAAUUUUUUUUCUAUUUUGUAGUGAUGGUGUAUUAAUUAUAAUACUAACUGUAGCAAAUAUGUUGUUAUUGAUUUUUUUUAAUUAAUUUUUCAUUUAAUGGUAGCAUGUAUAAUUUUAAGUAUGCAUAAUUUUAACUUGUUGUUUUCAUUAUUUUUCUAAUUAACCAUAAGCCAUACAAUUUUAAGGAUGAUUCUAUUACCGUUUAAAAAAAUUCUGAAUUAAAUAUUAGUAAUUUUACAAAAUAAUAAUAUUUGAUAGUGUCACUCAUGUAUUGCUUAUCAUUUAUUACUUUAUUAUAUUAUCUAAUUAAUGAAUUUCAUAUGAAUUAGGACUUAAUUGGGACUCAAAUAUUGAAUCUCUACUAUUAUCCUUUGCAAAAUGUCAUCACUAGACAAUUACCAAUAAUCUAUAAAGUUAAAUUAAAAAUUUAAAAGCUUAACUCUAAGCAUCAAAUCAAUGUCAUUAAAACAUUCAAAGCAACUUCAUGCCAUACUAAUAUUUUUAUAAAUAAAUACAUAAUUGUUUAGUUCAUUUUUAAAAAAAAUAAUGAUAUGCAAUGAAAAUCUACUUAUAUUUCUACCCUAUUAGUAUUCAUGAAUAUAUCUAUCUUACUCAUUUUCGUAAGAUAUAGCAACAUGUAUGUGUGUGUGUAUAUACGGUACCCCACUCCUAUCAUCCCAUAUUAAAUGUUUCUGCUUGAACCCUUAAACCUUGAUAUCAAUCUGUCUUUAAGCCUUGUUUCUAAUAUUAUUAUAAGAUCUUUACUUCUAACUUUAAAUUUUUAGGUCUAACAAAUUUAUUAUGUAAUUUAUUUAUAUAAUUUCUUAGUGCCUAUUCCUUACACAUUUAAUAUAAAAUAAAAAUACAUAUUUUUUUAAUUUUUUGGUUCACUUUAAAGCUCUUAUUUUUCAACGAAUUCCUUUCUUAAUUCUUAAGUCAGCAUCUUAAAAAUUUUAUUAAAACUUAUUAAAUAUUAUUAUUAUUCUUUACCUAAUUUAGACACAAAUCUAUAGCUAUUAUGGGGACAAAAGAUUCUCGUUAUUGAAAAUUUACGACUCUCUUUUUCGAAGGGAAAAAAAAAAAAAAAAAAAAGAAGUUAUUUGGCACCUGUGUAAGUAAUGCGCUUAACACUCUUAUAUAUAAACAAUUUGUCAUGAUUGGAGCAGGUUCUUGGAAAUCAAUGGAUUUAAAAUUUUUCUUGUUAUAGGAAUCAUGUGGACUCCAGCACGGUCUAAAAUGACGGCCCUUGCAGCUUUUUUUUAUUACUUUUUAUUUAAAAAAAGAAAAAGAAAAUUGAGAAAGAGUAGUGAUAUUCUCCAGCGGCCCACACUUUUUCUAAACGGGUAAUUUUUAAAAGCCUCCCCUGAGGUUUGGACUUGUUGCAAGUAGAUGGUGAAAAUAUAUUUAUUUGUAAAAAAUUCUUUACAUUUUUGCUCUGUUUGGUUGCCGUUUGGGUAGUUGUGGGCAUUGUUGACAUUUUACAAUAAAACAAAUCUUUUGCAACUUUCGUUGCCUUGAGAACAAUAACUAGUCAUUUCAGUUACUGAUGUUCUGACACAAAUAAAAACCAAACUUGCAAAAAGAAGUUUGGUUUCGUUUCGUUUCAAACAAUGCAUCUCUUUGAUAUCAUUUUUUUUAAUAAUCUGAAAAACUAAAAACAAAAAACGAAAGUAAAAACAAAUAUGACCACCACCAUCAUCGUAUAAAACCCUGGAUACAAAGAUGAUUUCUGAUCAUCACAGAGGAUUACCGAAUUGAUGAGCAGCAGCUUACAGUGGCAACGAGUAGCAGCACAAACCACAAGCAUGAACCACUAGCCCACGAUGUAUCGCAGUGAGUUUCGCCGACGACCCACAAGCACGAACAUCUAUGUCAAAGCAAAUCAGAGGUGAGUUGUUUGAAUACACACUCUUAUCUACUUUUUAUUUGUAGAUAACUCAAAAAGAUAUUGUGAUUUAUAUACAUGGCUUAGGUAAAAUCAGAAUUGAAAUUAGAAAAAAUUGGCUCAGUAAUAACAGUAAAACAAGGCAAAAUUUGUUUGAUCUAUAUAUAACAUUUGUUGCGUACGGUCGUGGACUUACAAUGGUUAAGCCUUAGAGUUUACAGCUUAUAGGAGAAUUGGUUUUUGGUUUAAUAUUUGUGGAAGGAAUAAUAAGAAUCAAGCUAUUUGACACCGGACACUUGAUUAAUGUAAGAAAUUCUACUCAAAACUGAAAAGUCUGCACUUAACUGAUCAUAACUUACUAUAGAUAACUCCAAAUUUAUAUUAGUAAAAUUCAUUGGAAAGCUAAUAGAAAUAUCUUUCCAAUGAUGUAUGGCUCAAAAAUUAAUUCGAUCUCAUGCAGUACAGUUUAAUUUCCAAAGAUGACCCUUCUGCACAGAAAUUCUGCUCACUUGAUUAAUAUAAGAAAUUCUACUCAAAACUGAACAGUCUGCAUUUAAUUGAUCAUAACUUACUGUAGAUAGCUCCAAAUUUAGAUUAGUCAAAUUUAAUGGAAAGCUAAUAGAAAUAUCUUUCCAAUGAUGUAUGGGUCGAAAAUUAAUUUGAUCUCAUGCAGUACAGUUUAAUUCCCAAAGAUGCCCCUUCUGCACAGAAAUUCUGCUCACUUGAUUAAUGUAAGAAAUUCUAUUCAAAACUGAACAGUCUGUACUUAACUGAUCAUAACUUACUGUAGAUAGCUCCAAAUUUAGAUUAGUAAAAUUCAUUGGAAAGAUAACAGAAAUAUCUUUCCAAUGAUGUAUGGCUCGAAAAUUAAUUCAAUCUCAUGCAGUACAGUUUAAUUCCCAAAGAUGCCCCUUCUGCACAGAAAUUCUGCUCACUUGAUUAAUGUAAUUCUGCUCACUUGAUACCAAUCUGGUGGUGCUUGCUGGGUUAUCCAUUGUAAAAAUGGAAAAAAUGAAUGUAUUUCUUGCCUGUUGUGUGAAGGUUGUAUAGAGUGGCCAGAACUGAUACU
rnacentral:lncRNA from 1 species